CCUACGGGAGGCAGCAGUGGGGAAUUUUGGACAAUGGGCGCAAGCCUGAUCCAGCAAUGCCGCGUGAGUGAAGAAGGCCUUCGGGUUGUAAAGCUCUUUUGUCAGGGAAGAAACGGCAGUUUCUAAUACAGAUUGCUAAUGACGGUACCUGAAGAAUAAGCACCGGCUAACUACGUGCCAGCAGCCGCGGUAAUACGUAGGGUGCAAGCGUUAAUCGGAAUUACUGGGCGUAAAGCGUGCGCAGGCGGUUUUGUAAGUUUGUCGUGAAAUCCCCGGGCUCAACCUGGGAAUGGCGAUGAAGACUGCAAGGCUAGAAUCUGGCAGAGGGGGGUAGAAUUCCACGUGUAGCAGUGAAAUGCGUAGAGAUGUGGAGGAACACCGAUGGCGAAGGCAGCCCCCUGGGUCAAGAUUGACGCUCAUGCACGAAAGCGUGGGGAGCAAGCAGGAUUAGAUACCCUGGUAGUCCACGCCCUAAACGAUGUCUACUAGUUGUCGGGUUUUAAUUAACUUGGUAACGCAGCUAACGCGUGAAGUAGACCGCCUGGGGAGUACGGUCGCAAGAUUAAAACUCAAAUGAAAUUGACGG
rnacentral:rRNA from 1 species